UCGUAGGUAUAUUUUCCAUUAAAACCUAAACUGUAUCGAGGGAUCCGUCCCUCCCAUCGUCUUCCUCCUCCGCUUCUUCUCGCUCUUCUCCUUCUCGACUCCUUGGCGAUCGCCCAAAACUUGAGCCACUGCCAGGCGGCCAUAUGCCCCCGAGGGAGGGGUCUCCGGCGAAGAAGUGGGCCCACCUGGUGGACGAGGUGCAUAAGUGGGCCCCGCCGGCCUCCCACCUCGAGAUUCGAACCAUCUCCGUCUCCGAUCUCAGGAUGGGAGGCAGGGCGUCACCAAUAUUCGUGCAGGGGACCAUGGUUCAGUACGAUGUGCAUAAAUGCCUGUGAGCUGUAAAAGGGAGGACUCUUGGUGCGCUGCCUGCACUAAACUAAAGUCAGGAAUAACUGUGAUUUUCUUUUUUGGGUACAUGAUGGUGCUACAGGCUUGUGAGGGAAAGCAGUAAAAGUUGCUACCAAUGAUAUCCAUCUAUGCUGUUCUGUGCCUUCUCACAGCACCGGCUUUCGAAGGGACAGGGAAGGGGAGAUGAAAAGUGAGUGACAUGGGCGGAUAAGAAGUCGAGAUGGAGAUUUCCAAGUUUCCAGAUUCCACGGAGGAUCACUGCAGUCCGUUCCUCCCCCACUUUUAUUUUGGCAAGGAUUUUGUAUCGUAUUCAUAAUUUAUAUAUGUAUAAAAAUAUGUUCAAAAAGUUUAAAUAUUUUAUGGAGCUGAUUAUGGAAUUGAUUUUUGCCUU